rnacentral:tRNA from 1 species
UGGCUCAGUUGGUAGAGUACUUGCCUAGUAUGCAUGAGAUCUUAGGUUUGAACCCUAG